UCGUUAUCUAUUCGUUACUUAUUCCCUAUUCCUUAUUCGUUACUUAUUCGAUUUUUAAUAUCCUUCUCCCUUUUUAAUUGUUUAUACUCUUAUAUCUGGUAAUAGUUCUAAAUUUGUUGAGGUAAAAUUAUCUUUUUAUGACCUAUUUAUAUGUGUUUGUGCUCAACCGAUCCUUUUACUUUAUGUUCGAUACUCAUUUGUUCCUUAUUUGAUUUUUAUACGUUCUACCUUUUAACUGCUUUAUGUCUGUAGAGUGGGGUGCUCAUUUUCGCCGGGGACACAAUUUCGCCGUUUAAGGAUUUUGAGGUGUAAAACUUCAAAGGAUGGCUGAAAUGGAAGAAAUGUACCCGUAAAUUAUAUUUUUAUAACAAAUAUAAUAUUUUUUUAAACUGAGACAAAAUUGCGGCUCCUACCGAAAAUGACCGAAAAACGGACAACGAUUUUCGGACAAUUUCCUGAAAAAAAACACGAUUUCAAAGAAGUAUUUCUAAGUAAAUAUUUGACUGAAUGCCCUAAUUUUGAAUUCUUUAUACCUUUCAAAUGUCUGCUAUUCAUCUAUAAUGCAAUUGAUUUGAUAAAAGUUGUUAAAAGCUGCGGUUAUUUGGUUUUAAAUAGAUGUGUAAAAACGGCGAAUAUGUGUCCCCCAUUGACAAAAUAUCCGGAAAUUUCAAACACCCUUUAAUCUAACUUUUCAGAUGAUUUUCUUAAAACAAACCGGUUUUCAAGCUUAAGUAUAUUUUGCAUUUGAAGUUAUCUUCAUAUAGAAAUAUCAGUAUACUUCAAAAACAUUUAGACCUGAACAUAAACUGUAGAAAACAUGGAAAGAUGUGGCGAAAAUGAGCACCCCACUCUAUGUUUGAAGAUGGAUCUUGUUUCGAAGCGAUGAAAUCACCGUGUUAGCGCUUGUAUAAAAAAGAAGAUGUGGUAUGAUUGCCAAUGAGACAACACUCCACAAUAGACCAAAAUGACACAGAAAUUAUCAACUAUAGGUCACUGUACGCCCUUCAACAAUGAGCAUAGCCCAAACCGUGUAGUCACCUAUAAAAGGUCCAGACAUGACAAUCUCAAACAAUUCAAAC
rnacentral:lncRNA from 1 species